rnacentral:rRNA from 1 species
ACACUCCUGCGGGAGGCAGCAGUGGGGAAUAUUGGACAAUGGGCGCAAGCCUGAUCCAGCCAUGCCGCGUGAGUGAUGAAGGCCCUAGGGUUGUAAAGCUCUUUCACCGGUGAAGAUAAUGACGGUAACCGGAGAAGAAGCCCCGGCUAACUUCGUGCCAGCAGCCGCGGUAAUACGAAGGGGGCUAGCGUUGUUCGGAUUUACUGGGCGUAAAGCGCACGUAGGCGGACUAUUAAGUCAGGGGUGAAAUCCCGGGGCUCAACCCCGGAACUGCCUUUGAUACUGGUAGUCUUGAGUUCGAGAGAGUUGAGUGGAAUUCCGAGUGUAGAGGUGAAAUUCGUAGAUAUUCGGAGGAACACCAGUGGCGAAGGCGGCUCACUGGCUCGAUACUGACGCUGAGGUGCGAAAGCGUGGGGAGCAAACAGGAUUAGAUACCCCUGUAGUCC